UACGUAGGGUGCGAGCGUUGUCCGGAAUUAUUGGGCGUAAAGCGCGUGUAGGCGGCCAGGUAGGUCCGCUGUGAAAACCCGAGGCUCAACCUCGGGACGUCGGCGGAAACCAUCUGGCUAGAGUCCGGAAGAGGAGAGUGGAAUUCCCGGUGUAGCGGUGAAAUGCGCAGAUAUCGGGAAGAACACCCGUGGCGAAGGCGGCUCUCUGGGACGGUACUGACGCUGAGACGCGAAAGCGUGGGGAGCGAACAGG
rnacentral:rRNA from 1 species